GUCGAGCGGACAGAUGGGAGCUUGCUCCCUGAUGUUAGCGGCGGACGGGUGAGUAACACGUGGGUAACCUGCCUGUAAGACUGGGAUAACUCCGGGAAACCGGGGCUAAUACCGGAUGGUUGUUUGAACCGCAUGGUUCAAACAUAAAAGGUGGCUUCGGCUACCACUUACAGAUGGACCCGCGGCGCAUUAGCUAGUUGGUGAGGUAACGGCUCACCAAGGCAACGAUGCGUAGCCGACCUGAGAGGGUGAUCGGCCACACUGGGACUGAGACACGGCCCAGACUCCUACGGGAGGCAGCAGUAGGGAAUCUUCCGCAAUGGACGAAAGUCUGACGGAGCAACGCCGCGUGAGUGAUGAAGGUUUUCGGAUCGUAAAGCUCUGUUGUUAGGGAAGAACAAGUACCGUUCGAAUAGGGCGGUACCUUGACGGUACCUAACCAGAAAGCCACGGCUAACUACGUGCCAGCAGCCGCGGUAAUACGUAGGUGGCAAGCGUUGUCCGGAAUUAUUGGGCGUAAAGGGCUCGCAGGCGGUUUCUUAAGUCUGAUGUGAAAGCCCCCGGCUCAACCGGGGAGGGUCAUUGGAAACUGGGGAACUUGAGUGCAGAAGAGGAGAGUGGAAUUCCACGUGUAGCGGUGAAAUGCGUAGAGAUGUGGAGGAACACCAGUGGCGAAGGCGACUCUCUGGUCUGUAACUGACGCUGAGGAGCGA
rnacentral:rRNA from 1 species